CCACACUUCUGCAGAUGCACCAUGCGCUCUCACGGAGGGAAUUAAACUGCAGCGCAUCUCGUGUUAUCAGGAUUUGUAUGUCUAACAAAUGUAAAAGAUAAAGAGCUUCUUGUCCCCAGCAGGACAAAUGGAUUGUUGUGAUGGGACAGACUCUCCCAUGAGGAAACAAUGAAACAGUCAUGUGUGCAGAGCUGGAAUGUCAGUGAGAACAUUUCAUUCAGGUCAGGGUUUCUACAUAAUCACUGCAUUAAACCUCAGACCUUUUCCUUUCCAUGCAGUAGUUUAAAGCAGGAACUAUAGAGCCAGUAACAUAUUUAUUAAAUGUGCCUUUAGCAUAAAUAAGAUCAAGGUGGCAUCCAGAAUUGAACCAAAAACCUCUUGAUAUGCAGUCAAAUGCUCUACGUCUGAGCUCUACCCUACGUGUCCCCAGCCCUGUGCAAGCCCAUCACACAGUGCGGGUUACAGCGAGCCUGAAGGCAGCACUUUUGUAAUCAUACAGAGAAGAGGAAACACAAAGAGCUCCAAUCCUGACAUCUCUUCUCUUAGUGCUAUUAAAAGUAUCACAGAGCCAUAGCAUGCCCUCACUGCAGGAUUCAAUAAUUCAUUUUUUUGUCCAUUUUGCCCAAAGUCCUUACAUCUAAUUUUCCAAAAAAAGAAAAAAAAAACCUGUUGCUCUUCUCAUAUCACAAUUACAACUCAAAUCCUGUUUUCCCUCAAUUUGAGAUUUUUUUAGAAUCUACAUUUCACAAUAUUUUUUCAUCCUUUUAAAAUGAGAUCUAACGUCUUUGCUUCAGACGUCCCAAACAGAGUUCCAUCAAGACCCUCAGUGCAUGAACGGAGAGGGAGACUCAGCAGUCACCCUCUCCAAUCAUGCUAUAGGGACUCUUAUUUAUGGUCCAGGGGCAACGUUUGAGUUUGUCGAGAAAUUUUUAUAAUUUGGCUUUUUCUUAGUCAUUCAUCUUGUUUGUAAAUGCACGUGCGUGGUGUACAAACAUAUGCAAGAACCUAAGCUCGUGUGACUGUAUUUAGUUUGGGAUAUUCUCAUUACUGCGUAGAAUUUAUCUAAAUUGUGAAGCAUUUUUUUAACCGUAUGUUAAAAAAAAGUGAUAAUGACACUAUAAUGAGCAUCAGUUUUCCUAAAAACUCACUACAAAUGUUUGAUUUCAGAUAUUCACUGCUGGAGGAUGGUGUCUGUCAGUAUUGCAGAUCUGUGGGGAAAAGCUGAAGAUCAGGUUUUAAAAUGUUUUGUAGGGCGGAUAGCCUCCUUGUGACCUUAUCUUGAAUUUGUGAUAGCCACGGGCUUUGUUAGUCAAAGUAUUUCACCCAUUACAUUUGUCUAAAUGGAAAAAUGUCUAAAUCUGCUCUUACAUAAGAAGUGGUUUCCAGAAAUUUUGUGACUGGCUGACAACUUAGUUUUAAUCAGAUGUAAAUUUAUUUGUAUUUCUUUGUACAAAGUGCAGAUGGUUAAAUGUUCAGGAUUUCUUUAAGUAUGAAAACAUGCCAAUAAAAACAAACUGGACUGAACGGUCUGACCAGUAAAGUUUGAUUUUGUCGGUUUGCGUACAGAAACCUCCUCAGCGGAAAAGCUUCUGCAGUAUAGGUUUAAGCUGGGCAAAA